CUGAGAGAGAUGAGCGCCUCAUUGGCUGGACUGAAGGUUGGUAUGGAGUAUCUGCAGAAAGAUAAUGAAGCCAAGACAAAAGAACUGGACUUGAUAAAACAACAAUACCAAGAGCAAGUGACAAAAGUAGGAUAUCUUGAGCAGCAGUACCAAG